UUUGAUCGGAAUAAAUAUAAAUUCUUUUCUUAUUUCUAUUUUAUGAUUGACCAAUAUAAACAUCAACAACUUCAAAUUGGACUCGUUUCCCCUCAACAAAUAAAGGCUUGGGCUAACAAAAACCUACCUAAUGGAGAAGUCGUUGGCGAAGUCACAAGGCCCUCUACUUUUCAUUAUAAAACCGACAAACCAGAAAAAGAUGGAUUGUUUUGCGAAAGAAUCUUUGGACCCAUAAAAAGCGGGAUUUGCGCUUGUGGCAAUUCUCGAGCGAGCGGAGCUGAAAACGAAGACGAAAGAUUUUGCCAAAAAUGUGGGGUAGAAUUUGUGGAUUCUCGGAUACGAAGAUAUCAAAUGGGAUACAUCAAACUCGCAUGUCCCGUAACUCAUGUGUGGUAUUUGAAAGGCCUUCCUAGUUAUAUCGCGAAUCUUUUAGAUAAACCUCUUAAGAAGUUGGAGGGCCUAGUAUACGGCGAUUUCUCUUUUGCUAGGCCCAGCACUAAAAAACCCACUUCUUUACGAUUACGAGGCUUUGCAACAUUUCAAAAUCGGGAAAUUGCGACAGGAGCAGGUGCUAUUAGAGAACAAUUAGCAUAUUUGGAUUUGCGAAUUAUUAUAGAGAAUUCUUUGGUAGAAUGGAAGGAAUUAGAAGACGAGGGGUAUAGUGGAGAUGAGUGGGAAGAUAGAAAAAGACGAAUAAGAAAAGUUUUUUGA
rnacentral:rRNA from 1 species